rnacentral:lncRNA from 1 species
AUCGGAAGCAGGAAAAAGAUAAACCUGAAGAAAGUACCACAGAGGAAGAUUCAGAUAAGGAAAGUGAUGACAGAAGCCUUGGAAACACAACUGAUGUUCUAAAUAUGACACAUAUGAUGAGAUUGAAUCCCAGUGACCAGUCCUUAAAAUUAUCACCAGUUCAAAAACAAAAGGAUCAAAAAACUUCUGAAGAUGAAGAGACUGAUAAUGAAGAAGAAGAAGAAGAAGAAAUAACAGACAAAGAAGAGGAGGAGGAAGAGGAGGGAGGCAGCAAUGAUGAUGGGAAAGUGCAUGAAAAAGAGGAACAUGACAGUAAAACACCUGAGGGAGAAAGAAGCAAUAACACCACUUCAGAAACUCCAGAGGAAGAGAAGACCCCUCAAGAAGAGAAAAUACUUCAGCAAGAGAGAGAAAAUACCCCCGACACUCAUCCUGAGAACAGUUCUUCAAGGGCAAUUUCGGAAAGUGGUGAUGAUAGAAUAUCUGGAGGAAUACUUGGAAGGACUAAAAAGUUUUCUCUGUUUAAGCGAAAGUCGUUGACAAGUCAGAAAAAUGUACAUAACAAUAAUGAAGGUAAAUCUGAAAAGCCACUCCAAAGUGAAAAGGAUAAAGGAAAGGAAGCAGAUUUAUCUGGUGAUGACAGGAAAGACGAAAACCAAAAUCACACGAGGGAGAAUCCUAAGGAAACCGCAACUACCAGUAACCAGGGCAGAAAGACCAAGUCCUCUACUUGUGUAAUACUGUAAUGCUGUCAGAAUAUAUAUUUGAAAGGCUGCAAGCACAUGUUGCAAUUUAUACUUGAAAACAAUUAUGACUUCUUAUUGUUACUGAU